rnacentral:rRNA from 1 species
GACGGAGGGGGCAAGCGUUGUUCGGAAUUAUUGGGCGUAAAGGGCUCGUAGCGGAUCCGCCAGUCUGACGUGAAAUCUCCACCGCUCACCGGGGAGGGGCCGUUGGAUACUACGGAUCUGGAGUUCGGCAGAGGACCAUGGAAUUUCGGGUGUAGCGGUGGAAUGCGUAGAUAUUGGGAGGAACACCAGUGGCGAAGGCGGCUCACUGGACCGGUACUGACGCUGAUGCGCGAAAGCGUGGGGAGCAAACGGGG